rnacentral:rRNA from 1 species
AUUGAACGCUGGCGGCAGGCCUUACACAUGCAAGUCGAGCGGAGCGGCGGACGGGUGAGUAAUGCCUAGGAAUCUGCCUAGUAGCGGGGGAUAACGUCAGGAAACGGUAGCUAAUACCGCAUACUAUACGAUCAGCCUAGAUCGGAUUAGCUAGUUGGUGGGGUAAAGGCCUACCAAGGCGACGAUCCGUAACUGGUCUGAGAGGACGAUCAGGCACACUGGUACUGAGACACGGCCCAGACUCCUACGGGAGGCAGCAGUGGGGAAUUUUGGACAAUGGGCGAAACCCUGAUCCAGCCAUCCCGCGUGUGUGAAGAAGGUUUUCGGGUUGUAAAGCUCUGUUGGCAGAGAAGCGGUACCUAACCAAAAAGCCCCGGCUAACUUCGUGCCAGCAGCCGCGGUAAUAC